GCCCAAGGCUGUCCAUUCCAGAUCCCAAGCGGGCCAUGGAGAGGAGGAAUGGAAAUCUGCACCCUCAGUUCUGGCAGGGACGUGUCUCACUGGUGGCCAGCCAUUAGUAGGUUUAAGUAAAGCCAGGUCUUUCGGAGCCAGCUCCUGGGAACUGAAGUGAACAUCCCUCACUUUCUCCAGCCCAGGACCACAGGAGAGAGCUGUUAGUGACCUGCACAGGUUCACAACAAAGGGGGAUUCUACUUCUAUCCAGUUUUUUUGGACAGCUGUUGGUAAAGCCAAAUUGUGAAG